rnacentral:lncRNA from 1 species
CCAAGAAGAUGUCGUCGUUGCCAUCAGUCUCAAGCUCAAGUUCAUACCCAAGCUCUCCAUAAUCACUCCCAAAAUCCAUUAUACUCUGUUUCCCCACCUCCAUAUCUAGUAUAUUGCGCACAACCAUAUGUUCAACUCCUUGCUUACCCAUAAUGGCGUGCACCAACUCCUCAAAGUCAUUCUCCAAUUCCACAAACAUACCAAAGCCCUUCUAG